rnacentral:lncRNA from 1 species
AUGGUUUUGAGCAGAGGAAGGAAGUAGCUUGAUUAAACUUGUAAAGGAUCAUUCUCGCUGCUCUGUGAAUACCAGACUUUAAAGCCAAGAGCAGAAGCAGGAUGGCAUUUUGGCCUGCUAUUUGGGAAUUUGGUCCAGUUGAGAAAUGAUGGUGUCUUGGACUACAGUUGCUGUGGAGAUGGUUUGAAGAAGCAAGCUGCUGUAAGCCCUAGAGCCACAACAAAAUGAGUUAUGCCAACAACCUGAGUCAGCUUGGAAGCGGGCCUUGCCUAGUAGAGACUCCAGAUGAGAAUGCAGCCCUGGCCAACACCUUGAUUGAAGACUUGCAGAGGACCCAACUAGGCCAUGUGCGAACUCCUGACCCAAAGGAACUUUGAGAUAAUAAAUGUG